rnacentral:rRNA from 1 species
AUUGAACGCUGGCGGCAUGCCUUACACAUGCAAGUCGAACGGUAACAGGUCUUCGGAUGCUGACGAGUGGCGAACGGGUGAGUAAUACAUCGGAACGUGCCCGAUCGUGGGGGAUAACGAAGCGAAAGCUUUGCUAAUACCGCAUAAGAUCUACGGAUGAAAGCAGGGGACCGCAAGGCCUUGCGCGAACGGAGCGGCCGAUGGCAGAUUAGGUAGUUGGUGGGAUAAAAGCUUACCAAGCCGACGAUCUGUAGCUGGUCUGAGAGGACGACCAGCCACACUGGGACUGAGACACGGCCCAGACUCCUACGGGAGGCAGCAGUGGGGAAUUUUGGACAAUGGGCGAAAGCCUGAUCCAGCCAUGCCGCGUGCAGGAUGAAGGCCUUCGGGUUGUAAACUGCUUUUGUACGGAACGAAAAGACUCUGGUUAAUACCUGGGGUCCAUGACGGUACCGUAAGAAUAAGCACCGGCCAACUACGUGCCAGCAGCCGCGGUAAUACGUAGGGUGCAAGCGUUAAUCGGAAUUACUGGGCGUAAAGCGUGCGCAGGCGGUUAUAUAAGACAGAUGUGAAAUCCCCGGGCUCAACCUGGGAACUGCAUUUGUGACUGUAUAGCUAGAGUACGGCAGAGGGGGAUGGAAUUCCGCGUGUAGCAGUGAAAUGCGUAGAUAUGCGGAGGAACACCGAUGGCGAAGGCAAUCCCCUGGGCCUGUACUGACGCUCAUGCACGAAAGCGUGGGGAGCAAACAGG